rnacentral:misc_RNA from 1 species
UUAAGUUCAGCGGGUAUCCCUACCUGAUCCGAGGUCAAAAGUGAUAAAAGACUUGUGGAAACUAGCGUAUAGACUUGAAUCGCGACUUGUGCUGCGCUUCAAAACCAAAACACUGGCUGCCAAUUACUUUGAGGCGAGUCCCGCCACUAGAGCAAGGACAAACACCCAACACCAAGCAGAGCUUGAAGGUACAAAUGACG